GUCUACUCCGAGGCCCCGGGCUUCCGUUUCGGGCUUGCGGGGCUGCGGCCAUUGUUUGGGUACACGGACCUUCUCGGCGGGUCCCGGUCCCCCCCGAGGCUCCAUAGGCGACGCGGACUCUCGGGAGCACCGAGCCAGGAGCGGACAAGGGCGGGGAGAGCUGUGAUCGAAGGAAGAGUGGCAGAAAAGGGAGGGUGAGGGGCCGAGAAGCGGCUCCGGCUUAGAAAUCCCGAAGACACCAGUGUAGGGACCUGUGACCACCAAGGCAGGACCGGGGUAGCAAAGGCUCAUGCCCCCAUUUUACAGCUCAGAUUUCUCAAAACUCUACCCUUCCCCAAAAGAGGAGCAUAAAAGAGGAAGGAAUGUUCACUAUUUUCCUCAUAGUUUGAUCCCAGAUCUCUUCUUCCUGGAAAACCUGAUCUUUGACCAGAUGGCAGUAACAUUUGAAGAUGUGACUGUUAUUUUUACUUGGGAGGAGUGGAAGUUCCUGGAUUCUUCUCAAAAAAAGCUCUACAGAGAGGUCAUGUGGGAGAACUACACAAAUGUCAUGUCAGUAGGAAACUGGAAAGAGAGCUACAAAUUCCAAGAAGAAAAAUUCAGAUAUUUAGAACAUGAAAAUCUUCCCUGGUGGCAAGGCUGGAGGAAUGCCAGCACUCAGAUAUAUGAGAAUAGAAACUAUGUGGAAACUGUCCAAGGAAUAAAUUCCAAAGACCUAAAGCAACAAGACCUUUCCCACCAUCAAGAAUGGUUAAUACUCUCCACACAAGUACCAGGGUAUGGGAACUAUGAACUGACUUUUGAAGACAAAAGUGCCAGGAACUUAAAAUAUACAAAGCUUAUACCUUGGCAGUCCUUAGAAACAAAACAUAACCCUCAAGACUAUGCUAGAGAAAUCUACAUGAAUGAAUCACAUGGUUUUCAAGGAAGCAGAUGCCAUUUUGACAUAUCUAGGAAAAAUCUCUCUGUGGAAAAAGAACAGAAGCUCAUAGUUCAGCAUUCUUAUGUCCCAACAGUGGAAGCCCUUCCGGAGUACACUGGGGAGCUAUGUCAACAUGACCUACUGAAAAACUCUAUGGAAGAGGAAUACUGUAGAUGUAAUAUAUGUAAAGAAAUUUAUUAUUGGAAUUCACAGUGUGUUCUCCACAAAAGAAAUCAACUUGGAGAAAAGUUCUAUCAAUGCUCUAUCAGCACAGCAUGUUUCUCUCCAAGAUCAGAUCUAUCCAGACAUCCAAGAAUUCACAUAGGAAAGAAGCUGUAUGGAUGUGAUCAAGUUGAUGAUAACUUCACUCAGAGCUUAGGUGUUCGAUUUCAUCAGAGAGUCUGCCCAGGGGAGGUUUCUUAUAUAUGCCACGUGUGUGGUAACAGCUUCAGUCAGAUCUCUAGUCUUCACAAUCAUCAAAGAAUCCAUACAGAAGAGAAACUUUAUAAAUUUGAAUGUCAUAAGGACCUCAGUCGAAAUUCUUUACUCCAUAUUCACCAGAGACUUCACAUAGGAGAGAAGCCUUUUAAAUGUGAUCAGUGUGGUAAGAGUUUUAGUCGGAGUUCAGUACUUCAUGUUCAUCAGAGAGUCCACACAGGAGAGAAACCAUAUAAGUGUGAUGAAUGUGGUAAGGGCUUCAGUCAGAGUUCAAAUCUUCGAAUUCAUCAGUUAGUCCACACAGGAGAGAAGUCCUAUAAAUGUGAUGACUGUGGUAAGGGCUUUACCCAGCGCUCAAAUCUCCAGAUUCAUCAGAGAGUACAUACAGGAGAGAAGCCUUAUAAAUGUGAUGACUGUGGGAAGGACUUUAGUCACAGCUCUGAUCUUCGUAUUCAUCAGAGGGUCCAUACUGGGGAGAAACCCUAUACUUGUCAUGAAUGUGGGAAGGGCUUCAGCAAGAGUUCGAAGCUUCACACUCAUCAAAGAGUCCAUACUGGAGAGAAACCCUAUAAAUGUGAACAGUGUGGUAAGGGAUUCAGUCAGCGUUCGCACCUUCUCAUUCAUCAGAGAGUUCACACAGGAGAAAAACCCUAUAAAUGUGAGGACUGUGGAAAGGGCUUUAGUCACAGCUCUAAUCUUCACAUUCAUCAGAGGGUCCACACAGGAGAGAAGCCUUAUCAAUGCACUAAGUGUGUUCUCCUGGUGAACAGUGAAAAGGCACAAUGGCUGAAAGAUCGGAAGGACUGUCUGCGUGUUACCCAGGGUCUUUUACUGAUUGCAUGGCACUGGGAUCAUCAUUUGACUUCUUCUAAGCAUCGUAAACUGUAAAUUAAUAGAGGUUGGAUUAACAAGUCUUAAGUCCCCUCAUGAGCUCUAGAAUAGCGCAUCACACAUAAGAAAGUGCCCAUCUUCACGGCACACUCAUUCCGCAAAAUCUUAACGGUUCAACGUCCUGUUAGUUUCGCAAUCCAGGGGCGGUCCUGGCGAGCGGCACGCUGGAGCCCGGAGCGAUCACGGCCCCGAAGGCUCGAGAGGACCGCGACCACCGCAAGCCGAGCCGCCGAGCCGCCCAGCCGGAAACCGCGAGGAACCGGCUUUCACGGCCCUGGGGCCUGGGGGUCGCGGUACACCUCCAGUAGCACGUGCAAGAGAAGACAAGCCCAAAAGUCAGAGCGGUUACCGGGUUCUCCUGGGAACGCUUGCCAAGUCCAGGACCGCGAGGCGGCCGCGCAGGCUGAAGCCACGUACUGUAGACGCCCUGACUGCAGACCUCGCAGGGCUCCUUUGGAGCUUCCUGCAGCUCUUGGGACUGCCGACCGUGAGCUCAGACCACCGGGGCCGAGCCAGGCGGACUCCAUUCUGGAAAUGAUGGGAGGGAUUUGGAAUCCGUCUAACCCCUCAAGGCGGUGGGCCUCGAGAAGUGACCUCGCGAAACUGCAAAAGGGACCGUCCUUGCGCUCUUCUCCCGCACGUCCCUCUUACACAUUUUCAUUCAUAAGCCAAACCCACUGAGCUGUUACCGUCUUGCCUCAGAAGAUGUAAAGGAAGAUUCUGUCACUUUAUUUCCCGCACUCGCUAGACCGGCACAUAGUUACGGUCUAUGACAGUUAAGGAGCUUCCUUUUAGUGACCUAGCGUGGCCAUUACAACAUCACAAUGAAGUAAUGGAAGCAAGAGACAACAACAUGGAUACCAAGUAGUACUUGGAGAACAUGGAGAGCGCAGAACUGGUAUUCGCGAAUCACUGACUUCAAAGCUCACGUGUAUGGAGAUAGCAAAUAGAGCCCAAUCAGGGCCACGCAUCAUAAUUCCAUCUUAAUUGAGUGGGAACAAUUAUUUUUUAUAUUCAAAUACACAAACUUGAAAAAGUA